rnacentral:rRNA from 1 species
CCUACGGGGGGCUGCAGUGGGGAAUAUUGGACAAUGGGCGAAAGCCUGAUCCAGCCAUGCCGCGUGUGUGAAGAAGGCCUUCGGGUUGUAAAGCACUUUCAGUGGGGAAGAAAGCCUUGGGGCUAAUACCCUCGAGGAAGGACAUCACCCACAGAAGAAGCACCGGCUAACUCCGUGCCAGCAGCCGCGGUAAUACGGAGGGUGCGAGCGUUAAUCGGAAUUACUGGGCGUAAAGCGCGCGUAGGCGGUCUGAUAAGCCGGUUGUGAAAGCCCCGGGCUCAACCUGGGAACGGCAUCCGGAACUGUCAGGCUAGAGUGCAGGAGAGGAAGGUAGAAUUCCCGGUGUAGCGGUGAAAUGCGUAGAGAUCGGGAGGAAUACCAGUGGCGAAGGCGGCCUUCUGGACUGACACUGACGCUGAGGUGCGAAAGCGUGGGUAGCAAACAGGAUUAGAUACCCUGGUAAUC